AACGAACGCUGGCGGCAUGCCUAACACAUGCAAGUCGAACGAGAUCUUCGGAUCUAGUGGCGCACGGGUGCGUAACGCGUGGGAAUCUGCCCUUUGGUUCGGAAUAACUUCGGGAAACUGAAGCUAAUACCGGAUGAUGACUUCGGUCCAAAGAUUUAUCGCCAAAGGAUGAGCCCGCGUAAGAUUAGCUAGUUGGUGGGGUAAAGGCUUACCAAGGCGACGAUCUUUAGCUGGUCUGAGAGGGUGAUCAGCCACACUGGGACUGAGACACGGCCCAGACUCCUACGGGAGGCAGCAGUGGGGAAUAUUGGACAAUGGGCGAAAGCCUGAUCCAGCAAUGCCGCGUGGGUGAUGAAGGCCUUAGGGUUGUAAAGCUCUUUUACCCGGGAUGAUAAUGACAGUACCGGGAGAAUAAGCUCCGGCUAACUCCGUGCCAGCCGCCGCCGUAA
rnacentral:rRNA from 1 species